rnacentral:rRNA from 1 species
UUGGCCUCAAAUCGGGUGAGACUACCCGCUGAACUUAAGCAUAUCAAUAAGCGGAGGAAAAGAAACUAACAAGGGAUUCCCCUAGUAACUGCGAGU